rnacentral:hammerhead_ribozyme from 1 species
GCAUUGCUGAGGAGUCCCACAAUAGGAUGAAACGGCCGUUUAGUGC